rnacentral:tRNA from 1 species
AUCUAAAUAGUUUAUUGAAAAUAUUAACUUGUGGAGUUAAGGAAGCAUUAUUUGUUUUAGAUA